rnacentral:rRNA from 1 species
GAUGAACGCUGGCGGCGUGCCUAAUACAUGCAAGUCGAGCGAACAGACGAGGAGCUUGCUCCUCUGACGUUAGCGGCGGACGGGUGAGUAACACGUGGAUAACCUACCUAUAAGACUGGGAUAACUUCGGGAAACCGGAGCUAAUACCGGAUAAUAUAUUGAACCGCAUAGUUCAAUAGUGAAAGACGGUUUUGCUGUCACUUAUAGAUGGAUCCGCGCCGCAUUAGCUAGUUGGUAAGGUAACGGCUUACCAAGGCAACGAUGCGUAGCCGACCUGAGAGGGUGAUCGGCCACACUGGAACUGAGACACGGUCCAGACUCCUACGGGAGGCAGCAGUAGGGAAUCUUCCGCAAUGGGCGAAAGCUUGACGGAGCAACGCCGCGUGAGUGAUGAAGGUCUUCGGAUCGUAAAACUCUGUUAUUAGGGAAGAACAAAUGUGUAAGUAACUAUGCACGUCUUGACGGUACCUAAUCAGAAAGCCACGGCUAACUACGU